rnacentral:rRNA from 1 species
UACAGAGGUCCCGAGCGUUGUUCGGAUUCAUUGGGCGUAAAGGGUGCGCAGGCGGUCCUUUAAGUCUGAUGUGAAAGCCCACGGCUCAACCGUGGAGGGUCAUUGGAAACUGGGGGACUUGAGUACAGAAGAGGAAAGCGGAAUUCCACGUGUAGCGGUGAAAUGCGUAGAGAUGUGGAGGAACACCGAUGGCGAAGGCAGCCUCCUGGGCCAGCACUGACGCUCAUGCACGAAAGCGUGGGGAGCAAACAGG